AACGCUAGCUACAGGCUUAACACAUGCAAGUCGAGGGGCAGCAUGGUCUUAGCUUGCUAAGGCCGAUGGCGACCGGCGCACGGGUGAGUAACACGUAUCCAACCUGCCGAUAACUCCGGAAUAGCCUUUCGAAAGAAAGAUUAAUACCGGGUAGUAUACGAAUAUCGCAUGAUAUUUUUAUUAAAGAAUUUCGGUUAUCGAUGGGGAUGCGUUCCAUUAGUUUGUUGGCGGGGUAACGGCCCACCAAGACUACGAUGGAUAGGGGUUCUGAGAGGAAGGUCCCCCACAUUGGAACUGAGACACGGUCCAAACUCCUACGGGAGGCAGCAGUGAGGAAUAUUGGUCAAUGGGCGCAGGCCUGAACCAGCCAAGUAGCGUGAAGGAUGAAGGCUCUAUGGGUCGUAAACUUCUUUUAUAUGGGAAUAAAGUUUUCCACGUGUGGAAUUUUGUAUGUACCAUAUGAAUAAGGAUCGGCUAACUCCGUGCCAGCAGCCGCGGUAAUACGGAGGAUCCGAGCGUUAUCCGGAUUUAUUGGGUUUAAAGGGAGCGUAGGUGGAUUGUUAAGUCAGUUGUGAAAGUUUGCGGCUCAACCGUAAAAUUGCAGUUGAAACUGGCAGUCUUGAGUACAGUAGAGGUGGGCGGAAUUCGUGGUGUAGCGGUGAAAUGCUUAGAUAUCACGAAGAACUCCGAUUG
rnacentral:rRNA from 1 species